CCUCAAGCUACAAUCAUGUAAUCUGCAACAAUUAGAAUAUGCAUCUCAGACACUCAAAUUAAAAAUGGGUGGGAGAACCGGCAACAGAUGACUUUUGCUGACUGACAAGUUAUGCCUCUGGUGAAGAAGAAAUGCUUCUCCAAACAAAAGAACAGAAGAAAAGAAUACAUAUACCAUGAGAUUCUUCUUAUAUCCAAAAUUGAGCACACUUUUCUUCAGGUGGCAUUACUUGCAAACGUUGCCUUCAAUUGAAUUAGACUAUCCCCAGACUCUCAUUCAAUUCAAAGCUUAAAAUAAAGAUCAAAGAACACAUCUCCUACCCAUCCUAUCUAUCAACAGGUGACUUUUUUGUUUUUAAAUCCAUAAUAUCUCAUUUUUUGCCAAUUAGUCCAACCUUAUUUAGCAAGAUACAUUUUCUCAUAAUAUAGAUAAUUAUCUACGGUGUAAGCAUAUUAAGUGAUAUGGGAUAUGAGAAUACUAAAAUAAUAUGAGAUGUGGACGAUUCAUGAAGUUGGUUCAAUAAUCAAAUUGGAUUCUUUAAAGAAAAAAAAAGUCUGAUCAUCGAUUGACUAACUGUGACAACCUUAUCCAAAUAUCUAAAACUUAUAGAAAAACAAGUAAUAUGUACAAUCGCGUUCGUCUACUUUUGAUUUAAAUACACAGUAUACAAGCAUAAAGUGAAGCAUAUAAGAUAUGGAAACACGAAUAUAAGCAAAUCUAAACCUCAGAUGGCUUAUCCAUGGGAGGAGGUUGGGCUCGAGGAGGAGGGGCAGAAGGCCCGUAAUAUUGAGGAAUUCGAGCAGCUGCAGCUUGUCUUCUACCCCAAUUCCUACCAAGAAGGUAACAUGCAAGGGCCAAUAUUAUUAUAAACAGUAUCAAUGGCAAUGACACCACUAUUACGUAACCCAUUUCUGGGUUUGCCUUUUGCUUCCUCUGCAACACAACAGAUUGAAUUUUACAAAUCAGCAAUUCAGAAUCAACCAUUUCGGUUCCCAAAUGACAUAUUUCUUUCUAAAGCAGUGAAAUUGGAGGUUUUUGUCAUUUACAUAAAGCUCAAAACUGAAUUCAAUUAGAAAAAAAGCUUACCUCUGUGAUUCAAAAUAAGCAAAUUGUCGUGGGUUGUAAAGAAAUGAUGGAGAAAUUUCUGAAAAUGGGAAGAGUUAGGGUUUCUUGGCUUUGAUUUAGGAGAAAAACCCACUCUACGUGGCACCUCUCUUAUCACUAUGGUAUCAUAUGGUGAUGCGAGCAGUUCACCCACUCCAAUAACGACUAAUAUCACAAUGAA
rnacentral:misc_RNA from 1 species